rnacentral:rRNA from 1 species
CCUACGGGGGGCUGCAGUGGGGAAUUUUCCGCAAUGGGCGAAAGCCUGACGGAGCAAUACCGCGUGAGGGAGGAAGGCUCUUGGGUUGUAAACCUCUUUUCUCAGGGAAUAAGCAAGUGAAGGUACCUGAGGAAUCAGCAUCGGCUAACUCCGUGCCAGCAGCCGCGGUAAUACGGAGGAUGCAAGCGUUAUCCGGAAUGAUUGGGCGUAAAGCGUCCGUAGGUGGCUGUGUGUGUCUAUUGUUAAAGAGUUUGGCUCAACCAAAUAAGGGCGGU